rnacentral:rRNA from 1 species
AACGAACGCUGGCGGCAUGCCUAACACAUGCAAGUCGAACGAAGCCUUCGGGCUUAGUGGCGCACGGGUGCGUAACGCGUGGGAAUCUGCCCUUGGGUUCGGAAUAACAGUUAGAAAUGACUGCUAAUACCGGAUGAUGUCUUCGGACCAAAGAUUUAUCGCCCAAGGAUGAGCCCGCGUAGGAUUAGGUAGUUGGUGGGGUAAAGGCCUACCAAGCCGACGAUCCUUAGCUGGUCUGAGAGGAUGAUCAGCCACACUGGGACUGAGACACGGCCCAGACUCCUACGGGAGGCAGCAGUGGGGAAUAUUGGACAAUGGGGGCAACCCUGAUCCAGCAAUGCCGCGUGAGUGAUGAAGGCCUUAGGGUCGUAAAGCUCUUUUACCAGGGAUGAUAAUGACAGUACCUGGAGAAUAAGCUCCGGCUAACUCCGUG